CCAGCAGGCGGCGCCCUGGUGCCUAGUGCACCCCGACACCCUGAGGGCUCCGGGCCUGUGAACCAAACCGCCCUGCAGUGGAGCCUCCCAACGGCCCCUUAGUGCGCAUUGGGGCCUGGUUUACAGAGCAGGCACCUGCCAGCCCUGCUAAUUCCUCCUGAGCCCAGCUCAUCGCAGAGGGGGCCAUAGACAUCCUGCUACCGCUAGAAUGCGAGGGCCACGAGAAGACACUCAGCUCAGUGCCACUGAUGCACCCCAGCCCCUCAAACCGCCGAGGCUCUCCAGGCUUCUGUGAACAAGAUGGCAGCCACCAGGCUGGGCCCUCCUAGACCUCUGAAAUGUAGCCCAAAACUUUCUGUGAUCAACAUGACCUUCCACUCA